rnacentral:lncRNA from 1 species
GUCAGAUUUCUGGUUAUGUUGAAAAGGAUUUUCAUUGGGCAACUCAGUUCAUUUAGCGGCAGAUUACCUUGAACAACAAGCACCUGCAAAUCAUGACAGUUUUUGUUUGAAGGUGGUCCAUUGUUUCUAAUGUUACCUCUCUUGCUCCUAGGCAUCAUACCAAAACCAACCAUUACAAAACAUGAAUGGUUUGAGUUGUUCUACACUGACGAGAAACUCCAGCUUGAUUGUAACAUGCCAGGAGAAAGUUGGGAAUACCAGUGGCAUAAAGACUCAAAUCCUCUGAUCACAAGUCCAACUCACACUAUUGACGCAUUAUCUCUGACUGACAGUGGUAACUAUCACUGCAAAGCACAGAGAGGAGACUUCUCAGUGGACAGUGAGACUUUACAAGUGCAAGUUCAAGCUCGUCCACAUGCAUUACUGAGUCUGGAGACUGAACUGAGCGACAUCAUGACAGGGGAUAUGACUCUCCGGUGUAACGUCUCAGACGGCAGGCAGUGGAACUACACCUGGUACAUGAACGGACAGCAGCUCAAUGGAUCCUUGGAUGUACUCAAAGUGGCAGGAAAUGAAGAAACAAUUAAAAGUGAAUUCAAGUGCAAGGGCAUAAACACAGUGAGACCGCUGUACUCCGCUCUGAGUGACGGCUUCAUAGCCAAUAAUAUUUUAUUUAAAAGAAAAAUACUGCUGGCCAUCUCAGGAUGUCUCGUCUGCUGUAUUGUAAUCCUGAUCAUUGGAUGCAUCGUUCUAAAAAUCACCCGUAAACCAGAGGUAAAAGAAACAGCACCAGAGGAUUUGUUUUUCUCAAUGACAGACUCCAAGAACCAAACUAUUUCACCCAUGAAGGAGUACAUGGACAACAUACCAACAGAGCUGGAGGAGUGUCAGGAAAAAGCAGAACUGAUCUCUGACUGUGCUUCAGCCGUUCAUGAGGAUGGUGGGAUUAAAGGUAAGAGACCUAGCAAAUGUGUAUCUACCAAUCGUAAUAUUGUAAU